UACGAAGGGGCUAGGCGUUGCUCGGAAUCACUGGGCGUAAGCGCAACGUAGGCGGAUUGCUAAGUCAGGGUGAAAUCCUGGGAGCUCAACUCCAGAACUGCCUUUGAUACUGGCAAUCUCGAGUCCGGGAGAGGUGAGUGGGAACUGCGAGUGUAGAGGUGAAAUUCGUAGAUAUUCGGAAGAACACCAGUGGCGAAGGCGGCUCACUGGUCCGGUACUGACGCUGAUGUGCGAAAGCGUGG
rnacentral:rRNA from 1 species